rnacentral:tRNA from 1 species
ACCGCGAUAGCUCAGUUGGUAGAGCACCUACCCGGUAAGCGGGAUGUCUCCGGCUCGAUUUCGGCUUGCGGUG